UCUUGUUCCUCCGUCAGCUCCUGUAUUGCAAGUACGAUGCCCAUGUGGUGUGAUUUGAUUCACCAGACCGCUACGUAGACCAAACCUCCAUUUCCGUCGGAGGAAGCUGCUGCUGGUGGGGCUUCCGAUGCCGGAGCUUGUCGCCGGCGGUCCUUUUUCAUUUUCUUCUCUAUUGAUUCGAUUAGGGUAUUACUGGAUUUAAUACUCCGGGGAUACUGGAUGCUACUGUACAACUACCGCUGAGAAACGCCCGUGAAUGGUGGCCAUCGAAGCCAGUUUUGUCGACUUACCUUUGCUUCUUCAUUAAGUUUUGAGUUCUAUAAUAGAAAAGACCUAAUUUCACUGUUCUACUCCACCCGAGUCAUUCAUUCCUCUUGCCGUUUGCAAUCCUCGUUGUCUAGCUCUGUUUUCCGUCCUCAAAUGGCGGAUCCUCAGUCACAGACCGAUUUCUCAUUCUUUCAGAUAUUUCUGUGUAGUGCUUUCGCCGCUUGCAUUGCCGAGCUCUGUACUAUUCCUUUGGACGUCGCAAAAGUCAGACUUCAGCUGCAGAAGAGAGCAGCUGCUGCAGAUGGGGUGAGCCAAUCGAAAUACAGGGGCUUAAUGGGAACUAUGGCCACCAUUGCUAGGGAAGAAGGUUUGCCAGCCCUUUGGAAGGGAGUUAUUGCAGGAUUACAUCGUCAGUGUAUCUAUGGCGGCCUAAGGAUUGGGCUAUACGAUCCUGUUAAACUAUAUUUAGUCGGCAAUAAUUUUGUUGGAGAUAUACCUCUACAUCAGAAGAUUUUUGCUGCUCUGAUUACUGGUGCUUUAGCAAUUUCUGUGGCUAAUCCAACUGAUCUUGUAAAGGUUCGCCUUCAAGCUGAAGGGAAAUUGCCAAUUGGGGUGCCUAGACGUUAUUCAGGCACUUUAGAUGCAUAUCUUAGCAUCAUAAGACAGGAAGGACUCACGGCCUUGUGGACGGGCAUUGGUCCAAACAUAGCAAGGAAUGCUAUUAUCAAUGCUGCAGAACUGGCAAGUUAUGACCAAGUGAAGCAGAUGAUUUUGAAAAUUCCAGGAUUCCUAGACAAUAUUUUUACUCACCUCCUAGCUGGUCUAGGUGCAGGUUUCUUUGCGGUUUGCAUUGGUUCCCCAGUUGAUGUGAGCCUAGUCGUUUGAUUCGAAUCAGAAUGGUUUCUAAUGCUUGCUACACUACACUAUAGUAAUUACCUUUCGUUAAGCCAUAUUGAUUCUGCUCUCAUACGAUAUUGCCCCUACAGCUGCAACAUUAUCCUGAAUGUUAUGAUGAAGUGGGUGGAAUCUUUUAUGAUAAUAUUAAGAGAAGCACUAACCGUGGAAACAUGAAGAAAGUGUAUAGCUAUAAAUUUUAUAGAGCAUCAAGCUCAAAUUUUUGUUUGGGAUUUGAAAUGAUACUUCUCUUUAUAAUAUCUAGCCAUCUUGUGAAGUAACCAAGCAAAUGAUGAGUCGUAAUGUUUUUCUUUCGUAGUCAAUAUGUGUUCAUUUUAUUCCUGGAUUCUGCUGCAUCUAUAUCUUUUGACUGUCACGAUGAGUGAUGUGAUAAACAUAUCAUACUUGUGUCAUUUUUUAUUGUUUAGAAAUUUCAAUUAUUUUUUAUUUGUACUGUUUUUGCUGGGCUCUGUAUUCUCCCUUCUCAUUUUGCUAUUUAGGCAAUUCAAUUUGUAGAAUUACCCCAAAAUUUGCUGAUGCAAGCUAUAGUGAGUGGAUGCUAGUAGAUCCUAAUGAAGUUAGUUCUACAGCUUUAUUGUAAUUUAAGUAGUCUGUCGAUGUUGGCUUUGAUGCCUUGGUUUAUUUUCCAGGUGAAAUCAAGAAUGAUGGGAGAUUCGACCUACAAAAAUACCGUUGAUUGCUUCAUCAAAACCUUAAAGAAUGAGGGGCCUUUUGCCUUCUACAAAG